ACGGAAGGCAGCAGUGGGGAAUAUUGGGCAAUGGGCGAAAGCCUGACCCAGCAACGCCGCGUGAAGGAAGAAGGUUUUCGGAUUGUAAACUUCUUUUAUCAGGGACGAAGAACGUGACGGUACCUGAUGAAUAAGCCACGGCUAACUACGUGCCAGCAGCCGCGGUAAUACGUAGGUGGCAAGCGUUAUCCGGAUUUACUGGGUGUAAAGGGAGCGUAGGCGGGGAUGCAAGUCAGAUGUGAAAUCUAUGGGCUUAACCCAUAAACUGCAUUUGAAACUGUAUCUCUUGAGUGUCGGAGAGGUAGACGGAAUUCCUAGUGUAGCGGUGAAAUGCGUAGAUAUUAGGAGGAACACCAGUGGCGAAGGCGGUCUACUGGACGAUAACUGACGCUGAGGCGCGAAAGCGUGGGGAGCAAACAGGAUUAGAUACCCUGGUA
rnacentral:rRNA from 1 species